rnacentral:rRNA from 1 species
UACGGGGGGGGGCAAGCGUUGUUCGGAAUUACUGGGCGUAAAGGGCUCGUAGGUGGCCCAACUAAGUCAGACGUGAAAUCCCUCGGCUUAACCGGGGGAACUGCGUCUGAUACUGGAUGGCUUGAGUUUGGGAGAGGGAUGCGGAAUUCCAGGUGUAGCGGUGAAAUGCGUAGAUAUCUGGAGGAACACCGGUGGCGAAGGCGGCAUCCUGGACCAACACUGACACUGAGGAGCGAAAGCCAGGGGAGCAAAGCGGG